rnacentral:ncRNA from 1 species
ACGCGUCUCUGGAGAGAGCCUUUUCAAGGCCACCCAAGGGGAAUACUUCGUGAUUGAAGUUAAACUCUCAGGUAACAGGACAGAGGAAG